rnacentral:rRNA from 1 species
CCUACGGGUGGCAGCAGUGGGGAAUAUUGGACAAUGGGGGCAACCCUGAUCCAGCCAUGCCGCGUGUGUGAAGAAGGCCCUCGGGUCGUAAAGCACUUUCAGUGAGGAAGAACGCCUGGUGGUUAAUACCCAUCAGGAAAGACAUCACUCACAGAAGAAGCACCGGCUAACUCCGUGCCAGCAGCCGCGGUAAUACGGAGGGUGCGAGCGUUAAUCGGAAUUACUGGGCGUAAAGCGCGCGUAGGUGGCUUGAUAAGCCGGUUGUGAAAGCCCCGGGCUCAACCUGGGAACGGCAUCCGGAACUGUCAAGCUAGAGUGCAGGAGAGGAAGGUAGAAUUCCCGGUGUAGCGGUGAAAUGCGUAGAGAUCGGGAGGAAUACCAGUGGCGAAGGCGGCCUUCUGGACUGACACUGACACUGAGGUGCGAAAGCGUGGGUAGCAAACAGGAUUAGAUACCCGGGUAGUC